rnacentral:rRNA from 1 species
UCAGAGGGGGGUAGAAUNCCACGUGUAGCAGUGAAAUGCGUAGAGAUGUGGAGGAAUACCGAUGGCGAAGGCAGCCCCCUGGGAUAAUACUGACGUUCAUGCUCGAAAGCGUGGGUAGCAAACAGGAUUAGAUACCCUGGUAGUCCACGCCCUAAACGAUGUCAAUUAGCUGUUGGGGCACUUGAUGCCUUAGUAGCGAAGCUAACGCGUGAAAUUGACCGCCUGGGGAGUACGGUCGCAAGAUUAAAACUCAAUGGAAUUGACGGGGACCCGCACAAGCGGUGGAUGAUGUGGAUUAAUUCGAUGCAACGCGAAGAACCUUACCUGGUCUUGACAUGUACGGAAUCUUCCAGAGACGGAAGAGUGCCUUCGGGAGCCGUAACACAGGUGCUGCAUGGCUGUCGUCAGCUCGUGUCGUGAGAUGUUGGGUUAAGUCCCGCAACGAGCGCAACCCUUGUCAUUAGUUGCCACCAUUCAGUUGGGCACUCUAAUGAGACUGCCGGUGACAAACCGGAGGAAGGUGGGGAUGACGUCAAGUCCUCAUGGCCCUUAUGACCAGGGCUUCACACGUCAUACAAUGGUCGGUACAGAGGGUAGCCAAGCCGCGAGGUGGAGCCAAUCUC